UCCUCCUCCUUCUUUUUUUCCUCCUCCUCUUCUAGCUGCAGCCAACGCUUCUGUCAGUAUCCUGGAACAGCCGCACCAGCGCGACCGUUCCCGGCUUGUGCCGCGGUUCGGGUCUCACUGCUGCGGUGCCGACCGGAGUUUCUGCAGGGCUAUGGGGACUGGAAUGUGCAGAAAGGGCCCGGAUGUCUGCGGAUUUAAAGGGACAGUCUUAGGAAGAGGCAAGGGGCGACCCCGCUGUUUCUCCCGGUCUCCAGACGCCAUCUGCGGCCAAGCCGGACCCGCCUGGAGACAGAAGAGGAGACUGUGUGCUGAGGGUAUUUUUAGGAGACCCAGGCGUGGGGAUUCUAAAAGCCUCUACUCUUCCUGCCUUUGCCUCUGCCCUUGGAUCCUUUUCGGACUUCAAGUUUCCCUCAACCCUUUCCCAAGAUUCCAAAACCAGCCAGUCUGUUCAGGGUAGGACAAUGACAACUCAAUAGCUCUGAGGCGAGUAUUUAAAGCAUGUCCUCGAAGGUAACCAAUCAGCAUGACACGUGGGCUCUGCCUGAGGAGAGGGAGGGAGAACUGAAGUGAAUCAGCCUGAGCUGAGCGGGCCCUUACAUCCCGCCCCUAGUCCCACGGCCCCACUGUUCUAGACGCACUAGAUAAUCCCCUUGUGAUCCUAUAAACUAGGAGUCCUGAAGGACAGGGGGAAAGGUCCCGAGGGAGAGGAGGGGGAAAAUUCCUAAAUGCCCCCCAGUCCUCCGAGCGGGAGGCGGGAGAAGGCCAAGGAAGGACGACUGUGAAUGGACCGCGGGACGGAGGUGACUGCCGCCUUUGUGACGUCGCUCUGGACGUUCCAUCUGGGAAUGUUCAACCUUUCGAAUGGAGCCAUCCGGGGAAAGACCACAUGGUCCAAAUUUUCUGCUUAUCUUUUUGCGAAGAUACUGCUUCUGAUACUGCAACAUUGGGAUCCUACUCUUACGGUGGUAUGAGUGUGGCAAGUUUCACUAAACCAUGUUUGCUGGCGCUUUUUCUAUAAGUCUAUCUAUAUGUUUGUAGUCAUCCAUACAUUUGAGGUUUUGCAAAGGUACACCCGAAAGUUUGCUAUUCCUAUGUUAUAAAUAGAACAGCUCCUCCUAAAAGUGUCAUUUUAAAGCCCCACCAAAUUUUGGAGAGGAGAGAAAAGGAAUUCAGAAUUUCUACCAUCUAGUCUCUUCCUCUACUAUCCCUUGUCUAAGAAUUCUGUUUUCUUUUAAAAGAGGGGAAAGGGAGUAAUUCAACAUAGAGUUAUAUUUAUUCAUCACUUACUAUAUUCAAGACACUGUAAUAGGUGUUCCUGGUGAGGAAUGUAGCAGAAUAUAGGGUAAUAAUAUUAUUAAAGAAUGUUAUAGUUCAUUUGUUUAGAAUGCUGCUGCCUAAAUUAAUGGAUCUCUAUUAAUAAAUUUUGAUUAUAAAAAC